rnacentral:rRNA from 1 species
AGUGAACGCUGGCGGUAGGCCUAACAUAUGCAAGUCGAACGGCAGCACAGUAAGAGCUUGCUCUUACGGGUGGCGAGUGGCGGACGGGUGAGGAAUACAUCGGAAUCUACUUUUUCGUGGGGGAUAACGUAGGGAAACUUACGCUAAUACCGCAUACGACCUACGGGUGAAAGCAGGGGAUCUUCGGACCUUGCGCGAUUGAAUGAGCCGAUGUCGGAUUAGCUAGUUGGCGGGGUAAAGGCCCACCAAGGCGACGAUCCGUAGCUGGUCUGAGAGGAUGAUCAGCCACACUGGAACUGAGACACGGUCCAGACUCCUACGGGAGGCAGCAGUGGGGAAUAUUGGACAAUGGGCGCAAGCCUGAUCCAGCCAUACCGCGUGGGUGAAGAAGGCCUUCGGGUUGUAAAGCCCUUUUGUUGGGAAAGAAAAGCAGCAGGUUAAUACCCCGCUGUUCUGACGGUACCCAAAGAAUAAGCACCGGCUAACUUCGUG